rnacentral:rRNA from 1 species
GACGGAGGGAGCUAGCGUUGUUCGGAAUGACUGGGCGUAAAGGGCGCGUAGGCGGUUUUUUAAGUGAGGCGUGAAAGCCCUGGGCUUAACCCAGGAGGUGCGUUUCAGACUGGAAAGCUUGAGGACGAGAGAGGAAAGUGGAAUUUCUAGUGUAGAGGUGAAAUUCGUAGAUAUUAGAAAGAACACCAGUGGCGAAGGCGACUUUCUGGCUCGUAACUGACGCUGAGGCGCGAAAGCGUGGGGAGCAAACAGG